UACGAAGGGGGCGAGCGUUGUUCGGAUUUACUGGGCGUAAAGGGCGCGCAGGCGGCUCUGCAAGUCAGAUGUGAAAGCCCCGGGCUUAACCUGGGAACUGCAUUUGGGACUGUGGGGCUAGAGAUCGGGAGAGGAGAGUGGAAUUCCCAGUGUAGAGGUGAAAUUCGUAGAUAUUGGGAAGAACACCGGUGGCGAAGGCGGCUCUCUGGACCGAUACUGACGCUGAGGCGCGAAAGCUAGGGGAGCAAACAGG
rnacentral:rRNA from 1 species